UACGAAGGGGGCUAGCGUUGUUCGGAAUUACUGGGCGUAAAGCGUGCGCAGGCGGUUGUGCAAGACAGAUGUGAAAUCCCCGGGCUCAACCUGGGAACUGCAUUUGUGACUGCACGGCUGGAGUGCGGCAGAGGGGGAUGGAAUUCCGCGUGUAGCAGUGAAAUGCGUAGAUAUGGCGGAGGAACACCGAUGGCGAAGGCAAUCCCCUGGGCCUGCACUGACGCUCAUGCACGAAAGCGUGGGGAGCAAACAGG
rnacentral:rRNA from 1 species